CUUUCCCUGAAGAGACGAAGUGAUCAAGAGAUUGAAGACGAGUGAACUAAUUUUUUUUUAAUAAAAGUUCACCACGACUCCUCCUUCUCUCACAAGUCGAAACUCAGAGUCGGAAAG
rnacentral:hammerhead_ribozyme from 16 species